UUGGACGGGGCGCAACGGAAGCGCACCGGCUCCGGGAGCCGGGGGUUGGAGGUUCGAGCCCUCCCGUCCAGA
rnacentral:tRNA from 1 species